GAUGAACGCUGGCGGCGUGCCGAAUACAUGCAAGUCGAGCGAACAGAUGAGAAGCUUGCUUCUCUGAUGUUAGCGGCGGACGGGUGAGUAACACGUGGGUAACCUACCUAUAAGACUGGGAUAACUCCGGGAAACCGGGGCUAAUACCGGAUAAUAUUUUGAACCGCAUGGUUCAAUAGUGAAAGACGGUUUCGGCUGUCACUUAUAGAUGGACCCGCGCCGUAUUAGCUAGUUGGUAAGGUAACGGCUUACCAAGGCGACGAUACGUAGCCGACCUGAGAGGGUGAUCGGCCACACUGGAACUGAGACACGAUCCAGACUCCUACGGGAGGCAGCAGUAGGGAAUCUUCCGCAAUGGGCGAAAGCCUGACGGAGCAACGCCGCGUGAGUGAUGAAGGUCUUCGGAUCGUAAAACUCUGUUGUUAGGGAAGAACAAAUUUGUUAGUAACUGAACAAAUCUUGACGGUACCUAACCAGAAAGCCACGGCUAACUACGUGCCAGCCGCCGCCGUAA
rnacentral:rRNA from 1 species